rnacentral:rRNA from 1 species
AUGAGCACCCAGGCCGACGUGGUAACUGGUUAUUACGUGGGACCAUAUAUGUUCAUGGCGUUGGCCAUGCAGCAGCAGGUGGCCGAGAUGUCAUACACCAGCGUGAAUGGAACCACGUUGACAUACUACCGCGCCGAGAACGGUCAGCAGUCAGGGAAGCUCGUUAGCCAACGCGGCAAAUGGUACACCGAGCAGGCGGUUGAUCCGGUGCCCGGUCCCAUCGACGAGGCCGGAGCACCUACCCAACGCGACACAGCUCCUCGCCGCUGCCAACAGCGGCUCGCCCGUGGCGCUCUGGGCCGGGUGGGUUCACUCCAGCGUCCAGGUGAUGGUCUUCUCCGCGCCGCUCGGCCAGACCGCCGUGGUCUCCGCCGCCGUCCCCGUCGACGUCCUGACGAUUACUACGCGAUCACCGACAAGCGCAGUGGCACGGCGUCGGUUUAUAAGCCUUUGGCCGGUGGGAGGCCCGGCCACGACGCGGAGCUGAUGAAGACCUUGUUCUCGGAUACCAACUGCACCGCGUCCGCCAUUAACAAGCCCGAUAUCGGAGUCUGGCUAGUGCUCAGCGAGUGGAGCGGGGCAACCAAGGUCCGACGGAUCGGGGUGGCCAUCCUGUGCAUCAUGUGUGCAGUCACGAUACUGGCAAUGGUAGUGUGCUUCCUCAUGGCACGCGUGUUGUGGAAGGUCGGGGUGCGGGAGGUCGCGCUAGAGGCCGAGCUAGCACAACAGAAGAAAGCGCUCCAGCAAACGGAGCGCAAGAGCAUGAACAAGAGCAAUGCCUUCGCCCGCGCUAGCCACAACAUCUGCUCCUCGCUCGCUGCUGUCGCCGGACUCAUCGAGAUCUCCCGGUUGGAGGCCCGCGGCAACACCAACCUCACCUAUAACCUCAACCAGAUGGAUGUCGGCACCAAUAAGCUCUUCGAUAUUCUUAACACGAUACUCGACAUGGGCAAGUUGGAUUCCGGGAAGAUACAGCUAGAAGAGGUAGAGUUCAGGAUGGCACAUGUCCUCGAGGAAUCCAUGGACCUGGCGAAUGUUGUUGGGAUGUCAAGAGGUGUCGAGGUGAUCUGGGACCCUUGCAACUUCUCCGUGAUCCGGUGCACCGCCGCCGUCGGUGACUGUAAGCGUGUCAAGCAGAUCCUUGACAACCUUCUCGGCAACGCCAUCAAGUUCACGCACGAAGGCCAUGUCAUGCUCCGUGCGUGGGCCAACCGCCCCAUCAUAAGGGGCUCCAUGAUUAGCACCUCGUCGAAGUUUGCCUCCCGCCGUCGCGUCGGUGGGGUCUUCGGUUGGCUGCUUGGAAGAAGUGAGAAUUGUGCCGAACAGAAUGGCGGCUUGUCCCUGAAAAUCGAUCCCGAUUCGGUUGAGUUUUAUUUUGAGGUUGUUGACACUGGUGUGGGGAUACCCGGAGAGAAGAGGGAGUAUGUGUUUGAGAACUACGUUCAAGUGAAGGAUGGGCAUGGUGGCACCGGGCUCGGACUUGGAAUUGUGCAAUCAUUUGUUCGUCUGAUGGGAGGGGAGAUAAGCAUCAAGGACAAGGAGCCAGGAGAAGCGGGAACGUGCUUUGGCUUCAACGUGUUCCUGAAGGCCAGCGAGAGUUCAGAGGUUGAAGACAACCUCGAGGAAGGGCGGGCGGCGCCUUCUUUGUUCAGGGAGCCCGCCUGCUUCAAGGGCGGGCACUGCGUCCUCCUCGUCCACAGCAACGAGACCCGUCGGAUCCUGCACGCAUGGAUGGAGAGCGUCGGGAUGAAGGUCUGGCCAGUCUCGUGCGCCGAGCUCCUCGCCCCGACCAUCGAUAAGGUGUGCUCCACCUUCAGCAGCUCGUCGUCAAGGCCGGCGUCGAUGUGGUCGCUGCACAGCGCUAGAGGCGACGACUUGCACGACACCGUAGAUCGUUGCCUCGUCUCCAAGGAGAUGGCCAGCCACCUGCGGAGCAGCGGGGGCAUGGGGGGCAACCACGCCGGGCACCUCCACGCCUUCAGCCUGCUCGUCGUCGUCGACGUCUCCGCUGGGAGGCUCCAUGAGGCCGCCCGCGAGGCGGCGAGCUUGGCGAGGACCAAGCUCCAGGCGUCGUGCAAGGUCGUCUGCCUGACGGACCUUAAGACCCCCUCUGAGGAUCUGAGGAGGUUCAAGGAGGCGAGCAGCUUCGACCUCGAGCUACGCAAGCCCAUCCACGGCUCUCGGCUGCACAAGCUCCUCCAGGUCAUGAGAGACCUCCAGGAAUCCCCUUUCGAGCACCCGCACCCAUAUCAGUUCGAGAUGUCGGCGGCAGAUCAGACCACUGCGCCGGCGUCCGAGAUUACGCCCGCAAUGCCCGUCGGACCAGCCAAUGUUGGAGACUGCAAGCCACUGAAGGGGAUGCGCGUGCUGCUGGUGGACGACACCAUGCUUCUGCAGAGAAUCCACGGGAAGAUGUUGAGCGAUCUCGGAGCAGCCGUGGAGAUUGCAGGCGACGGCUCCGUGGCUCUUGCCAUGUUCACAGAAGCUCUUCGGAAUGCCUUUCCCUAUGAUGUGGUCCUCAUGGAUUGCCAGAUGCCGGUGAUGAAUGGCUAUGAGGCGACGAGGCGCAUCCGCGAGGAAGAAAGCCGCCACGGCGUCCGCACCCCGAUCAUCAUGCUGACUGCGAAUUCCGUAGAAGAGGGGCUGCAGGAGGCCGUCGAAGCUGGAAUGGAUCUUCACCUGAGAAAGCCGAUACCAAAGCCGAAGAUCGUAGGGGUUGUUCUUGAGCUCUGCAAACAAGACAAGAACUGGUGA